CCUGGACCCUGAAUCCAAUGACAAGUGUCCUUAUAAAAAGAAGAGAGGAUGCAGAGAGAAGAAGGAGAUUGAAGAUGGAGAUUACCCGGGACCCAGGAUGCUGGUGGAAGACUUUGAACGGCAGCUUCUCUUCCCGGCAACGCGCCCUCCCCCUUCUGAUUAUGGCCGUCUCCUAGCAAGGGGUCCGAUUGCUGUAUCUGAGCACUUACUGAGGGUUAUGCUCAUGGUUGCAGGAUGGCUGCUGUGCUUCCAGACAUCACAUCUUUAUCACAAGUGGACCAAAAGCCUUCUCCUCCCAGAGCCUGGUCUUUUUC